ACAGCGUCUUCUGGUAUCCCAAGGCAACGACGGCAACUCCAGUGAGUCAAGGCGCAGAGGCGCGAAUGCACUGCCCCAGGAUUUUUUUCUUGAGCUUUAUAUUUGCGGUGGUGGAGAUUGAACCCAGGGCCUCUUUCGUUUUAGAGACGCGACCUACCAUUAAACUACACUCCUGGCUCUGCUACUCAAGUUUAGUCUCCAUAGUGCUCAGUUUUGUUGCCUGAACUUUCCUGCUAUGGUAGUCUGCGGGCUUUUUACUAGUCGUGAUAUGGAAUUAUUUAUAUAUGUUCCCUUAAUUGCCAGAAUCAUGACUUUUUUAUUUUGUUGGACUUGACACCGAAUGUGAGUCAUUCCUGUCCUCUCCCACAUGCGGUGUUGUCACAGGAUCAGAACUUCAUUUCUGUGAUUACAACUGUUAACUUGAAAGCAGCCCUCAGUUAUUUCUUACUUGAAUAUUGCUUUGCAAAUGGAUUCCUUGCUGGUGUCUUUGGUGUCAUCUCCCAGCAUUUCUUCUGGCCCAGCAACUAGACAAAUUAACUGUUUCGAAGAGAUCUGAAGCACCACUGUGGGCAAAUGUGGCCAGCAACUGCUCUGAGGAAUUGUCAACUUCUUUCCCAGGUCUGGCCCAACCUUUAAGCACUUUCUUCAACACUGAACAUAACCACCGCAAGGCUCUUCACUCCUGCUCAAGAGUUUGCCAUCCCCAGACAUCCUGCCAGAAGACCAAGCGCAUUUUCCCAUGCACUGAGUGUGGAGAGAUGUGUUCCCGCCUCCUUCCCUUGGCCUCCACUCCAUCUCCAUCUCGCCAAUGUACUGUAUUUCACUUCAGUGUCUUCUCACACUGCCUUCAGAUGAUUAGAGCACAUCACAUCUCCUUCAGCUUCACUGCUCCUCUGUUUAUCAAAAACCUUUGUACAAAAUUCUGUUAAAGGCCUUCAGGAAGCCUCAGGAGAUGUCUUUGCCUAUUUGCCCUUUGUCUGGUAACCUGUGCUGUAUGAGAAAUUACUCCAA
rnacentral:lncRNA from 1 species